AAAAUUUGCCAUCUCAAAUGUUGUAGAUGUAGUUCAUAUGAGCAUGAAUAUUGGAGCUAAAAUUUGGUGCCAAGUUUUUGGGGAUUUUCGGCCAAAUCCAAAGGGUGAUUUUUUGGGUUCUUGUUUGACUUGUUAAAAGUGUUUUAAGGUGACUUUUGGAACCCCUAAGUACCCUAGGUUGUUAACCCCUUUUUGAGAAGUGAAAAUUUGGGUUUUAAUGAGUG
rnacentral:lncRNA from 1 species